GCUGGUUUUGAGCAGCGAUCAGUUGAGCAGAAUUCGUUAGAAUAUAAGAACAAAUUGCUCUCACUUAUUGAUCGCUUUGUACCUAAAAGAAAGGUUUCAUCAAAUCCUCGUUCUCCGUGGUUUAAUAACACGUUAAAACGCAUGCGCAAUAAAAAGAAGCGGGUAUUCAGACGCGCGAAAUUAACAGCCAGAAGUGACCGUUGGUCAUCCUAUCAGAUAUUUAAUAGAGAAUUCUGCACUGCACUUUCGAAAGCCAAAAAAGAAUUUUUUGAUAAAACUCUUCCUUCGCUACUCCGUUUUAACCCGCGUAAGUUUUGGAGCAUCAUCAGCGGAACGAAAACGCGACAAAUUCAAUUAAUCGAGUCUAAUGUCCCAGUUGCUCUUAGCGAGUGCUGCAAUGUUCUGAAUGAGUCAUUUGCGGCACGCUUUCAUAAAAGCACCUCUACGAUAUUCCCGCAUUUAACAAGAACCAAUUUCUUCCCAAUGGACCCCAUCAUCAUUGACGCAGUUGGUGUUGAAAGACUGAUUGCCAAUUUGAAAGUGUCUUCAUCGGCUGGUCCAUAUUGUAUUUCGUCAAAAAUGUUGAAGUGUACACAAGUCUAUUCUGCUUUAAUAUUGUCAAAACUUUUUGAACAGUCAUUGCAGACGUCCACACUGCCAUCUGACUGGAAGGCUGGGAAGGUGGUCCCUGUGCAUAAAUCUGCUAUUUGAAGGACGCCCUAUUUCAUCCACCUCGUUUCAUAUCACCGAGGACUGAUCAUCGCUAUAAGGUGGGCCUACCAUCCUGUCGCACCAGACUGUGCAAUGACUUGUUUGUUCCUAGGACAAGCGCCGCCUGGAACCACCUUCCCGCCUCCAUCGCCUGCAUAACGGACGAAAAAGAUUUCAAGCUCGCCGUACAUGAUGCCCUGUAACUUCUUUCUUUUUUUUUCUUUCUUUCUUUUUAUU